rnacentral:rRNA from 1 species
UAGGGAAUCUUCCGCAAUGGGCGAAAGCCUGACGGAGCAACGCCGCGUGAGUGAUGAAGGUCUUCGGAUCGUAAAACUCUGUUAUUAGGGAAGAACAAAUGUGUAAGUAACUAUGCACGUCUUGACGGUACCUAAUCAGAAAGCCACGGCUAACUACGUGCCAGCAGCCGCGGUAAUACGUAGGUGGCAAGCGUUAUCCGGAAUUAUUGGGCGUAAAGCGCGCGUAGGCGGUUUUUUAAGUCUGAUGUGAAAGCCCACGGCUCAACCGUGUAGGGUCAUUGGAAACUGGAAAACUUGAGUGCAGAAGAGGAAAGUGGAAUUCCAUGUGUAGCGGUGAAAUGCGCAGAGAUAUGGGGGAACACCAGUGGCGAAGGCGACUUUCUGGUCUGUAACUGACGCUGAUGUGCGAAAGCGUGGGGAUCAAACAGG